CGGCUUCUACAGAUAUAUAAAAUAUUUCAAAAUACACAACAAUUCAUCAUCUAUUUCAAUAUACAAUGAACAAUUCAUUAGUACAAUCACCAAGUCUAAAUAUUGUUCACAAAAUUCUAAUCAAAUGCAUUCCUACUCUAUAUGAGUUUAUACACAAUUUGCACAUUCGGGGCGCACUACAUCAAUAUCCAUUUGGUCCUAAACAGCAUGUUGGAAAUACAUGU